CGGCCUACGGGAGGCAGCAGUGAGGAAUAUUGGUCAAUGGACGAAAGUCUGAACCAGCCAUGCCGCGUGCAGGAAGACGGCUCUAUGAGUUGUAAACUGCUUUUGUACAAGGGUAAACCUGAAUACGUGUAUUCAGCUGAAAGUACUGUACGAAUAAGGAUCGGCUAACUCCGUACCAGCAGCCGCGGUAAUACGGGGGAUCCAAGCGGUAUCCGGAUUUAUUGGGGUUAAAG
rnacentral:rRNA from 1 species